CGCCUAGGUCAAGCACAUCCAGUCUGCCGCUGUGAGCUACAGGGCAGCGCAGUCAAGAAGGAUUUCCCCACGCCUCGUCCAAGCACCAUCCAGUCUGCCGCUGUAAGCUACAGGGCAGCACGGUCAAGAAGGACUUCCCCACGCCUCGUCCAAGCACCAUCCAGUCUGCUGCUGUAACCUACAGGGCAGCACGGUCAAGAAAGAUUUCCCCACGCCUCGGCCAAGCACCAUCCAGUCUGCCGCUGUAAGCUAAGGGCAGCACGGUCAAGAAGGAUUUCCCCACGCCUCGUCCAAGCACCAUCCAGUCUGCCGCUGUAAGCUACAGGGCAGCACGGUCAAGAAGGAUUUCCCCACGCCUCGGCCAAGCACCAUCCAGUCUGCCGCUGGCAGCACGGUCAAGAAGGAUUUCCCCACGCCUCGUCCAAGCACCAUCCAGUCUGCCGCUGUAAGCUACAGGGCAGCACGGUCAAGAAGGAUUUCCCCACGCCUCGUCCAAGCACCAUCCAGUCUGCUGCUGUAACCUACAGGGCAGCACGGUCAAGUAAGAUUUUCCCACGCCUCGGCCAAGCACCAUCCAGUCUGCCGCUGGCAGCACGGUCAAGAAGGAUUUCCCCACGCCUCGUCCAAGCACCAUCCAGUCUGCCGCUGUAAGCUACAGGGCAGCACGGUCAAGAAGGAUUUCCCCACGCCUCGGCCAAGCACCAUCCAGUCUGCCGCUGGCAGCACGGUCAAGAAGGAUUUCCCCACGCCUCGUCCAAGCACCAUCCAGUCUGCCGCUGUAAGCUACAGGGCAGCACGGUCAAGAAGGAUUUCCCCACGCCUCGUCCAAGCACCAUCCAGUCUGCUGCUGUAACCUACAGGGCAGCACGGUCAAGAAAGAUUUCCCCACGCCUCGGCCAAGCACCAUCCAGUCUGCCGCUGGCAGCACGGUCAAGAAGGAUUUCCCCACGCCUCGUCCAAGCACCAUCCAGUCUGCCGCUGUAAGCUACAGGGCAGCACGGUCAAGAAGGAUUUCCCCACGCCUCGGCCAAGCACCAUCCAGUCUGCCGCUGGCAGCACGGUCAAGAAGGAUUUCCCCACGCCUCGUCCAAGCAGCAUCCAGUCUGCCGCUGUAAGCUACAGGGCAGCACGGUCAAGAAGGAUUUCCCCACGCCUCGGCCAAGCACCAUCCAGUCUGCUGCUGUAACCUACAGGGCAGCGCAGUCAAGAAGGAUUUCCCCACGCCUCGUCCAAGCACCAUCCAGUCUGCCGCUGGCAGCACGGUCAAGAAGGAUUUCCCCACGCCUCGGCCAAGCACCAUCCAGUCUGCCGCUGUAAGCUAAGGGCAGCACGGUCAAGAAGGAUUUCCCCAUGCCUCGUCGAAGCACCAUCCAG